rnacentral:rRNA from 1 species
AGCGAACGUUUGCGGCGGGCCUAACACAUGCAAGUCGAACGAGAAUCUCUUCGGAGAGGAAAGUGGCGCACGGGUGCGUAACACGUGGAUAACCAACCCNGCCUGUCGGGAUAACGCUGGGAAACCGGCGCUAAUACCGGGUGUGUCCGAGGUGUCAUCAGGCGCUUCGGAGAAAGACACGCAAGGGUUGCCAGGGACGGGUCCGCGUCCCAUCAGCUAGUUGGUGAGGUAAUGGCUCACCAAGGCAAAGGCGGGUAGCUGGUCUGAGAGGAUGAUCAGCCACACUGGAACUGAGACACGGUCCAGACUCCUACGGGAGGCAGCAGUGGGGAAUAUUGCGCAAUGGGCGGAAGCCUGACGCAGCCACGCCGCGUGAGCGAUGAAGGUCUUAGGAUCGUAAAGCUCUGUGGAGGGAGAAGAAGAAAGCCGGUGAAGAGCCGGCCUUGACGGUAUCCCUUUAGCAAGCACCGGCUAACUCCGUGCCAGCAGCCGCGGUAAUACGGAGGGUGCAAACGUUGCUCGGAAUCAUUGGGCGUAAAGCGCGCGUAGGCGGCGAGGCAAGCUGGAUGUGAAAGCCCUGGGCUCAACC